ensembl:snRNA U6 U6 spliceosomal RNA
GUGCUGGCUUCAGCACAUAUACUAAAAUUGGAACAACACAGAGAAGAUUAGCAUGGCCCCUGCACAAGGAUGACACACAAAUUCAUGAAGCAUUCCAUAUUUUU